rnacentral:rRNA from 1 species
GACGAACGCUGGCGGCGUGCUUAACACAUGCAAGUCGAACGGAAAGGCCCUGCUUUUGUGGGGUGCUCGAGUGGCGAACGGGUGUGUAACACGUGAGUAUCCUGCCCUUGACUUUGGGAUAACUUCAGGCGACUGGGGCUACUACCGGCUAGGUGCUCCUGCUGCAUGGUGGGGGUUGGAAAGUUUCGGCGGUUGGGGAUGGACUCGCGGCUUAUCAGCUUGUUGGUGGGGUAGUGGCUUACCAAGGCUUUGACGGGUAGCCGGCCUGAGAGGGUGACCGGCGACAUUGGGACUGAGAUACGGCCCAGACUCCUACGGGAGGCAGCAGUGGGGAAUAUGGCACAAUGGGCGGAAGCCUGAUGCAGAAACGCCGCGUGCGGGAUGACGGCCUUCGGGUGGGAAACCGCUUUCGCCUGUGACGAAGCGUGAGUGACGGUAAUGGGUAAAGAAGCACCGGCUAACUACGUG